AUGUUAGAACUUCUCUUAAUCCUUCCAUAAUAAGCGUUUCGAUACGAAACCCUGGAAUUUACGAACACUCAUUUCCGAUACCGGGAGGUUUGCCGAAACUGAAUCCCUGGUUUUUCUAGAGCUAUUAAAUUAACCUACGAUGAAGACUUUUUCUAUUCGGAGCUUCAAACGAAGAUUCCACACGCGUACGCCCACUCUAAUCGACGUUCCAAAUCUUUCUUCAGAAGGAAGUUUCUGCAUCCGAGGUCAAAAUCAAAAAGUGCAUAAAGUGCAUUUUAAGCCGGUAAACAUUAAAAAACAAGCCUCGAAAACCAAAAAUCAUACUGAUAUUUCUUUGAAGAAUUAGAAGAUUCAGCGGGAAGAAUAUCGUGUCUAAAAUACGUUGGAAUCAGUAGGAAAAAUCGGAAUCGCGAAAUAAUCAUUUUCUCACGUUUUCAAUUUCCUAUAAAUAGGACUUCAAAAAAUGAAAAAAAUCAAAAAAAAAAAAAUCACACAACACACACACACGGCCGUGAACUUCUUGGAGGAAAGGAAGAGAUUUGAUUUUUUCCGGUUCUUGCCUGAUCGUCGCUCUGUUCGUUGCUACGCGUAGGCCUCAAGGUUCACAACUUCCAUGCCCAACUUCUACUCACGAAGGCGAUGGUGAGCCUUCCGCUGAAGCUUAGCUGUUCGAGUCGGAGACCGUGAUCGUGGGCGGUCGAGUAGAGGUGGAUGAAGCAGUUGCUUCUCCCUUUUUGGUGGACUAUGUUUGAGUUUCUUUUUCCUUAUGAAAACUCUGUUGUUUAAACCUUAUUUCGCCACUGUUAAAGUGUGCGUACUUAUUUUGGAAACUUGUUCAUGAUGAUGUAAGACACUAUUAUUAUUAUGUCGGGAACGGGUUGUUGAAUAAAGUCUAUGUUAUAUAUUCAA